AGCAGCAGCGUUGGAGCCGCGGAGCCCAGCGCUUCGCGGGGGUAACCCGAGCCCUCGGAGCCCUUGAAGCUCCGGGGGCGGCUUAACUUCAGUGUUUUGGCUGAGAACACCCUUAAAGCUUAAAAUAAAACCUGCCUGCGGGGUGUGGGGGAGGACAGAGGAGUAUACAAAUCAGCGUCACCCCACCUCCCUCAUUUCUGGUCUGUAGGAAAGGAUGCUGAAUGCUUGGUCUACAGGAGCCGAUGAUUUGGAGCUGCCCGCCAGCAGACUCUCCAGAUCCCCCAACCCACGCUCCCAGCCUGCCCCCAGAUGCCCUCCCACACUUACAAAGGAAAUGCAGGCGGCCAGGAGAAGGAUCCGCACCAGGAGGUCUUCAAACUGCUCUACCACCAACUCCCACAGGGACUUCCCUGAGGGAAGAGGCAAGGGGAGGGGGCCCCCGGGGUUAAGGUCUAACGGAUGAACGGCUGGGACUCCAGGUGCCGGCAGGCCAUUUGGUACUGAGAAAAGGGCUGAGAGGAGCUGGCCCGGAGUCCAGAAACAGGCUCCUUAAAGUGGUGGGCAGUUGUUCAAGGACUGGAUGCCUCAAGGAGAAAGUGCCUGGAAACUUCUGACCCCAGCCAGACUCUAACCUUUGGGGAGGAACGAUUGCCCCAGGAGUUGGAAGGAAAGGGCAGGGAGAAGGGAGUGGGGCACAGAGGGGAGGAGGUGUCAUUUAUGAGAGCUCAGGGCUUCCAGUAACUUACCUUCCUCGGCAGGGAGCUCUGCCCAGGGAAAAAGAAGAAAAGGACAUAUUCAUUUGGAGUUCAGUCUAAUGCCGCCCACACCCAGGACUUUGUGGCUAAGGAAGCCUUAACUUCUUAACUGAAGAAUUCAGAGCAGGAAGGCUCCUUGGAGGUCAUCAAUCCUGCCAUUCACUGUCCUGUCCCAUUAAGAGAACCUGGCUGGAGACCCCGAGAAGCACCGUUUGGCUCUGCACUUACCGCUCAAGAAACAGGACAGCCACCCGAGAAGUGAUGGGCCGAAAGCACAGGUCUGGAGAGCAACAGGGACUCAACCUGACACAGCCCUCCAGUCUCUCAGCUCUGGUGCUCGCAACACUGAGUGGGCUGCCUUCCUGACCCACCUGUCACAGUCCCCGCUGCAAAAACUGGUCAGAGCCAUCACGAUGGAACUGAGAUAAACCCUUUUAUUUAUU